rnacentral:rRNA from 1 species
UACAGAGGGUGCAAGCGUUAAUCGGAAUUACUGGGCGUAAAGCGUGCGUAGACGGUUUCGUCAGUCGGAUGUGAAAUCCCCGGGCUCAACCUGGGAAUUGCAUUCGAUACUGCGAAGCUAGGGUACGGUAGAGGGAAGCGGAAUUUCCGGUGUAGCGGUGAAAUGCGUAGAUAUCGGAAGGAACAUCAGUGGCGAAAGCGGCUUCCUGGACCAGUACCGACGUUCAGGCACGAAAGCGUGGGGAGCAAACAGG